rnacentral:rRNA from 1 species
UACAGGGGGUGCAAACGUUGCUCGGAAUCAUUGGGCGUAAAGCGCACGUAGGCGGUCUGUUAUGUCGGAUGUGAAAUCCCUCGGCUCAACCGAGGACGUGCAUCCGAAACUGCGGAGCUUGAGUACUGAAGAGGAUCGCGGAAUUCCCGGUGUAGAGGUGAAAUUCGUAGAUAUCGGGAGGAACACCAGUGGCGAAGGCGGCGAUCUGGGCAGAUACUGACGCUGAGGUGCGAAAGCGUGGGGAGCAAACAGG